rnacentral:rRNA from 1 species
UUUAAUUAAGAGUUUGAUCCUGGCUCAGGAUGAACGCUGGCGGCGUGCCUAACACAUGCAAGUCGAGCGAGAAGCUCGUGACAGACGCUUCGGUUGAAGUCACGAGUGGAAAGCGGCGGACG